UACGGGGGGGGCAAGCGUUGUUCGGAAUUACUGGGCGUAAAGGGCGCGUAGGCGGCCUUCUAAGUCGGACGUGAAAUCCCUCGGCUUAACCGAGGAACUGCGUCCGAUACUGAAAGGCUUGAAUCCGGGAGAGGGAUGUGGAAUUCCAGGUGUAGCGGUGAAAUGCGUAGAUAUCUGGAGGAACACCGGUGGCGAAGGCGGCGAUCCUGGACCGGUAUUGACGCUGAGGCGCGAAAGCUAGGGGAGCAAAGCGG
rnacentral:rRNA from 1 species